rnacentral:lncRNA from 1 species
GAUUUUAUAUUCGGUGAUGCUGCAGUAAUUUUCCAAAAUUGUGACAUAUAUGUUCGUGAUCCUCCUCUAAUUUCAAAUAUGUUUAGUUACAUUAUAAACAGAAACCUAUAAAUUUAUUAUUAUAUUGUAUUCCAACACCAUACAUACAAUAUAAAAAGAUUCAAAACCAAUUUAGCAAAAAAAGGCCCCUAAAGCUAUGAGGUAAGACCCUAAAGCAAAAAAAAGUAGCUAUGAGGUAAGACCCUAAAGCUAAAAAAGUAUUAGGAGAUGAAUAAUAACAAUGUGGAUUAUUUAUCACAUGAAUCUUCACCUGAAGCACACUUAUGCAAGCUCUAACAGGCUUUUUUUACAACAUGUGGACCAUGCCAAGUGUGUGUCAGCACACAAAAAUCAGUAAGAAUUUUGUUGUCACCAAGGUCAAACUUAACAUACCAUGUCUUGGAUGCAUCUGAGAGUGAACACAUUAGUACUCUCACAAAAUAAUGAUAGACCAACACUAAUAAUCCGGUGAAAAAUUAAAUAUUACGGUAACACAAAAUUAACAAAAAUAUAUGAUAUAAUUGCACGAAAGAGUAUAAUCCUUUACUUAGUGUAAUAAGUUUCCAAGUGAAAUUUACUUACUUAGGGUCCAAGUGCCUGCAUAAUUCAAAACAACUU